UGGGGGAUAUUGCACAAUGGGGGGAACCCUGAUGCAGCGACGCCGCGUGGGUGAAGGAGCACCCCGGUGCGUAAAGCCCUAUCGGCAGGGAAGAAAGGUGGGCUUGCCCACAUGGACGGUACCUGACUAAGAAGCCCCGGCUAACUACGUGCCAGCAGCCGCGGUAAUACGUAGGGGGCAAGCGUUAUCCGGAUUCACUGGGUGUAAAGGGAGCGUAGACGGCCGUGCAAGUCUGGAGUGAAAGCCCGGGGCCCAACCCCGGGACUGCUCUGGAAACUGCGUGGCUGGAGUGCGGGAGGGGCAGGCGGAAUUCCUGGUGUAGCGGUGAAAUGCGUAGAUAUCAGGAGGAACACCGGCGGCGAAGGCGGCCUGCUGGACCGCGACUGACGUUGAGGCUCGAGAGCGUGGGGAGCAAACAGG
rnacentral:rRNA from 1 species